UCUCCGUUGGUGAACCAGCGGAGGGAUCAUUACCGAGUUAUCCAACUCCCAACCCCUGUGAAUCAUACCUUUAAUUGUUGCUUCGGCGGGACUUCGCGCCCGCCGGGGACCCAAACCUUCUGAAUUUUUUAAUAAGUAUCUUCUGAGUGGUUAAAAAAAAUGAAUCAAAACUUUCAACAACGGAUCUCUUGGUUCUGGCAUCGAUGAAGAACGCAGCGAAAUGCGAUAAGUAAUGUGAAUUGCAGAAUUCAGUGAAUCAUCGAAUCUUUGAACGCACAUUGCGCCCGUCAGUAUUCUGGCGGGCAUGCCUGUUCGAGCGUCAUUACGCCCCUCAAGUCCCCUGUGGACUUGGUGUUGGGGAUCGGCGAGGCUGGUUUUCCAGCACAGCCGUCCCUUAAAUUAAUUGGCGGUCUCGCCGUGGCCCUCCUCUGCGCAGUAGUAAAGCACUCGCAACAGGAGCCCGGCGCGGUCCACUGCCGUAAAACCCCCCAACUUUUUAUAGUUGACCUCGAAUCAGGUAGGACUACCCGCUGAACUUAA
rnacentral:rRNA from 1 species